rnacentral:rRNA from 1 species
UACGGGGGGGCAAGCGUUGUUCGGAAUUACUGGGCGUAAAGGGCUCGUAGGCGGCCAACUAAGUCAGAUGUGAAAUCCCCGGGCUUAACCUGGGAACUGCGUUUGAAACUACAAGGCUAGAGUGUGGCAGAGGGGGGUGGAAUUCCACGUGUAGCAGUGAAAUGCGCAGAUAUCGGGAGGAACACCUAUGGCGAAGGCAGCUCGCUGGGACGUUACUGACGCUGAGACGCGAAAGCGUGGGGAGCAAACAGG